rnacentral:rRNA from 1 species
GCUGUCGAGUGGNGCUCGGGUGAGUAANGUAUAGCUUACGUGCCCCAUAGAGGGGGAUAACUACUANAAAUGGUAGCUAAUACCCCAUACUCCUUAUAGUAGGGAUACUAUAAGGGAAAGGAGUAAUCCGCUAUGGGAUCGGGCUAUAUCGUAUCAGCUAGUUGGUGAGGUAAAGGCUCACCAAGGCGAUGACGCGUAGCUGGUCUGAGAGGAUGAUCAGCCACACUGGAACUGAGACACGGUCCAGACUCCUACGGGAGGCAGCAGUGGGGAAUAUUGCACAAUGGGGGAAACCCUGAUGCAGCAACGCCGCGUGGAGGAUGACGCAUUUCGGUGUGUAAACUCCUUUUAUAUGGGAAGAUGAUGACGGUACCAUAUGAAUAAGCACCGGCUAACUCCGUGCCAGCAGCCGCGGUAAUACGGGGGGUGCAAGCGUUACUCGGAAUCACUGGGCGUAAAGCGCGCGCAGGCGGUUAGAAAAGUCAGAUGUGAAAGCCUACGGCUUAACCGUAGAACUGCAUCUGAAACUCUCUAACUAGAGUGUGGGAGAGGUAAGUGGAAUUAGUGGUGUAGGGGUAAAAUCCGCAGAGAUCACUAGGAAAUACCAAAAGCGAANGCAACUUACUGGAACACUACUGACGCUGAGGCGCGAAAGCGUGGGGAGCAAACA